UUCUUUCCUUCUAACAUUUAUCAUGUUCUAAAAUGCUAUUAUUAACUUCGGGAGUAUGUAGCUUACUAAUACUUGUCCGAGUUUCCUAUUGCUCAUUGUUGGCUUUUGUUGAGUUUGUAAUUUGUGUGUUUAACUGGAACACAUUUACAGCAGAAAAUCCUGUCUUGAACUUUUCUUAUUUUGUCCAAUAGAAUCUCGUGGCAUAGUGUCAUAGCUGCAAAGUGGAGUUCUAUCCUCAAAUUUCAUAGGAAAUAGUCCAACUGUACAUUGAAAGAUUAUGCAAAUCUUCAAGGAGCAUCUAAUCAAUCACCGCGGUGUGAGAGGAAUGCAGCCCAUCGCUGAAUUAGCUUCUGUUGGAAUGUAUUCAUGUGUAACAUCCCACUGACUGGAUGACAUCACAACAGCUCCAGGUCCUUGAAAGUCUUGAGGAUGAUUAGCUGAAGGAAUUGGCUGUUUCUGCCAAUCAUAAUCCAGCAAAGCUGCCUUUAUAGUUCUGGAGAUAUGAGAGAGAGGGAGGGAGAGAAAGACCGACUACAGCUAAACAAGAGGCACAGCAGCACUAGCAACAGCAGAGCAGGAGCAGCUGGUAUUCCGGUGAUUAAAUAGUUCUCAUAGCCUUUUUGCUGUACUCGGUCUGCUCCCUGGUGUAAUUCUCGUGUCCAAGAAGGAAGCUGCAUUUUAACGGUGUGCUGAACAGAGGUUUGAAUCAUUCCAGCUGGCUGCUUGUUUUGAAAAGGACAAUGUGUGUAUAAAUAAAAGGACUCUGCUGGAAGAGUUCAGAUACUAAGACUGGAGCUAGAGAGUGCUCUUGGAAUAUUGUUGAGGCAGAUUGCAUGAACUGAAAGCUCCUUCUAAUUAACCUGGAGCCAAGUGAACCUGAAUACUGGAUACCUCAUGUUCUAACUCGGGAUAAAUUCAAGUUAGGAAAAGGCAAAAUAUUGAAAUGCUUCUCUAGAUUAUGCUUAGAGGAUUCUGCAGCAAUUCUUGAUAUUGGACAUAUUCAAAAUCUCCUCAACUUAUGUCCUCCCCGUCUAUUGCCUUCCAGCUUUAACUCAGUUGUGCUCCCUUCAAACAUUUUACAUGAUUUGCAAUGGUUACAUGAACUCUGGGGAAGUCAUAUUUGCAACAUCUCAUACUUUAUUCACUAUGGCACUUUAGGAAAAGAAAUUGGGGAAAAGCUU
rnacentral:lncRNA from 1 species